rnacentral:rRNA from 1 species
UAGGGAAUUUUCGUCAAUGGGGGGAACCCUGAACGAGCAAUGCCACGUGUGUGAAGAAGGUCUUCGGAUCGUAAAGCACUGUUGUAAGUGAAGAAUGCCAUAUAGAGGAAAUGCUAUGUGGGUGACGGUAGCUUACCAGAAAGCCACGGCUAACUACGUGCCAGCAGCCGCGGUAAUACGUAGGUGGCAAGCGUUAUCCGGAAUCAUUGGGCGUAAAGGGUGCGUAGGUAGCACGAUAAGUCUGAAGUAAAAGGCAACAGCUCAACUGUUGUAUGCUUUGGAAACUGUCGAGCUAGAGUGCAGAAGAGGGCGAUGGAAUUCCAUGUGUAGCGGUAAAAUGCGUAGAUAUAUGGAGGAACACCAGUGGCGAAGGCGGUCGCCUGGUCUGUAACUGACACUGAUGCACGAAAGCGUGGGGAGCAAAUAGGAUUAGAUACC